rnacentral:rRNA from 1 species
CCUACGGGUGGCAGCAGUGGGGAAUAUUGGGCAAUGGGCGCAAGCCUGACCCAGCAACGCCGCGUGAAGGAAGAAGGCUUUCGGGUUGUAAACUUCUUUUCUCAGGGACGAAGAAAGUGACGGUACCUGAGGAAUAAGCCUCGGCUAACUACGUGCCAGCAGCCGCGGUAAUACGUAGGUGGCAAGCGUUAUCCGGAUUUACUGGGUGUAAAGGGCGUGUAGGCGGGAAAGCAAGUCAGAUGUGAAAACCAUGGGCUUAACCUGUGGCCUGCAUUUGAAACUGUUUUUCUUGAGUACUGGAGAGGCAGACGGAAUGCGUAGUGUAGCGGUGAAAUGCGUAGAUAUUAGGAAGAACACCAGUGGCGAAGGCGGUCUGCUGGACAGAAACUGACGCUGAGGCGCGAAAGCGUGGGGAGCAAACAGGAUUAGAUACCCGGGUAGUC